rnacentral:lncRNA from 1 species
UUCCUCUUGGGUGGAUCUCAAAAGGCGGAUAAAGAUCGUGAAAUGGCCAGCCUUCUCAAGGAUUUUGGUGACGUUGGUGAUGCCGUGUGGUGCAGCAGCCUGUGUUGGGGUUGCGACUGGAGGUUGUGCUACGACUACUGCUGGUGCCUGUGCUGGGGCUGCUGUUGGUGACUGGGCAAAGGUAUUGAUAUAACACAGGGAAAGAAGAAGCAUUGAAAAUGAGAAGAUUGAGUACUGUUGCUUCAUCUUUAAGUUUCCACGGUAUAAUGCUAGAGAUAAUUAAAAAAUGCUAACGCAAAUUGAGUUCGAUCUUAGUUGGAAGUGUUUGAUGUCUGAAGAAGAGACAGAGUGAGCUUUUAUAGAAGUGGACAGAGGAUCAAACUAGGUGCAAUGUACGAGUUUAGUUAUACAACUUGGUUGCUAGUACCUAUUUUGCUCUGAAAGGUGGAGGGUCAUCAAUGGAUGGGUUUUUUAACAAUGCUGCAGCAACUACUUGGCUUGGAAAAGAAGGAAAAAAUUUCUAAAAAGCAGAUUUCCAGUGGUGUGACAGUAAAUAAAGAUGUCCAUGAUUGUCGAAAUUAUAUUUUAGAAUCAUCACUGUCAGAACAUUUGAGGAUACUUCUUAACUUAAAAAAAAAAAUCUUCUGUCAUGGCAGAAGAUUUGGACAAGCAAUCUUAACGGAACCAUCUUUCUAUAUCUAAAACAGCUAUGGCUCCUUCAGCAUAAUAGAAUGAAUCUUUACUUCCCUGAAUCCAUGACAGACAUCGAUAGACUAACUUUCCAAAUUUACACAGAAAUCAAAUCUCACCUAGACCAUCACUUAAAACAACACAAUCAAGCAACACCUACCUUAUGUACUUGAUUUGAUGUUCGUGGCAAGCCUUCUUUCAAGGUUUAUGCAAUCUCCAGGGGAGAUGCAUUUUAGGGCAGCAAAUAUGUCCUAAUACAUGUUAGGGGAACACUGAUUUUAGAGUAUGGUUUGAAGCUACUGCAGAUGCAGAAUUGACAGCCUACACAGAUGGUGAUUGGCUCGUUCAUUUGAUGAUAUGUAGAGCACAACAUGUUAUGAGUUCAAUUUCGGUUCAGGUGCAUUUUAUUGGAUGACCAACAAGCAAAAACAAUGGCACAAACCACUGCAGAAGCAGAGUACAUAGCUGCAGCAGCUACAGUGUGAAGCAACGACAAUUGAAAUUGAUAACAACUCAGCCAUUGCAAUUGUGAAAAAUCAUGCAAGUCAUGUCAAAACCAAGCAUAUCUAAGUGAAGUUCCAUUUAGUUCAUGAUGUAUAAAAAGCUAAUGAGGCGACCUUAAUCUACUGUGAAGCAGAAAAUCAACUUGAAGAUAUAUUCGUUAAAACUCUUUCUCAAGCCAGAUUUGAAUUUGUCAGGAACAAGCUUGGAUUAUCAAGAAGUCGUCUCAAGGAGGAAUGUCAUACCAAUUUUGAUACUUUUUCUACAUACUUAGUGCAUGUUCUGUAGCAAUCUACUGAUAUUUUGUAAAAAGUAUUGCUGAAGUAAACCUGCUGAAAAUCAUGUGAGGGCAGGUCCCAGUAGUCAAGGGGUGGUGUUGUGAUCCUUGGAUGGCAUUAGGUGGAGUUUUUCUUGAAAGAAAGUUAUAGUAAUCAAAUACUUCUGCGCAUAUAUAAAUGAUAAUGUCAGAUGUGGUAGUACGAAAAAACAAACCGGUUUACAAAAUCAGCAAAGCACUAUCAGUCUUGCUAUCUAUAAUUUCUCUGCUGCAAACAUUCUUGUUGGUCACAAAACCAGCAGUUAUGAAAUUGGAGAGAACCUGAACCUGAUGUUGGCUUAAACUGGAGAAAGAUUCAUUAAGAUAAAACUUUAAAGGCUCCAUUGUAAGCGCAAUGUGCAGGUUAUUUCACAUACAGAUUGGCAAAACUUCAAGUAAAUUAGCUGUACCAUGCAGAUCCAACUUCGAGCACUCAUUUUGUAACUCAAAAUCCUUGAGAUUGCUGAGAGAACUUCCAAAAAUAAACACCACUCAAUGCAAGCAUCUGCGUAUAAUAACAAACUUUCAUGAAAAGCUGUCAUCAAGAACAAUAUAAGUAUUAUCCUACAUUUGCACAAGCAACCAUCUGCAUAUAAUAAGACAAUAGCUCACUAGUUAUACAAAAUUCACAAUGAAAUAUCUGUUUUCACCGUUGUCCUACAAAAUGAAUGAAUUAAUGUGUAGCACUAGCUUAUCUCUAGCUUCAAAACAUCAAUACUUCAAGAAGAAGGAACGAAAAGAAAAGGAUUAUCUUAAUCCUGCAGGGCAGAGCAGUAAGGUGCUUCGCAUGAGCAAGUAACCCAAAACACUAAUCUCCAAUGCUUAAUAUGCUCUUUUCUGUCCAAUAAUGAAUACUUGUUUCAAUCAAACCUGAUAAAUCCUUGAAAUACUACCUACCUAGUACCUACCUUCAAUUGAAUCAUCUCCAACAGCCCACGAUUUGGACAAGUAACCUCAACCUCAAGUGAUGCAUUCUUUUUAGUGAAGGAACUAAGCUUUAGCUCCUGAAACUUUACAGAACAGAACUUUACAUUCUUCAUUCCUUACAACCUUCAACAGAUAAUCUUUUCAAAUAUACAAACACAGAAAUCAAAUCACCCACAAAUUUGAAGAAAACAUCAUUCAAGAAACACUGACCUCAGGGACCUAAGCCCCAAAGAGGCAAUUGGUUUAUCUAACCAAAAGCUAGGAAAUAAGUAGACGACACCAGGGUUACAGUGAGGAAAAAAAAUGAAAUUUGACAGAUCAAGUAUAUAUAUUGCAACUUGAACAAGAAAUUAAAUGAAACCUCAAAAUUCCAUCUUAACCACAAGCUCAAAUCAUACAAACUGGAUUCAAAGUAAAAUCUGAAUUAUUCAAAUUUCAACAGGAAUCCAAAGUCAACAAAAUCAUGAAACAAAACCGGAACCAAGCCCAACAUAUCUCCUCUCAAGUUUCAAAACCCUUCUACAUGACAAGCAAACAUUGCAGCAGCAACUAUAACGAGUGAUCCAACAACCACAUUAUUAUGCAUAAACGUAACUGCGCUAGAUAUAUCCACAGGAGCAACAGGACUCUCUACAUUAGCAGCAGGAACCGCCUUAGUAGGUUUUUCUCGUGCAGGUGCCUGUACUGGUGCUGGAGCUGGAGCAUUGGAUCCAAAAAUGUCCUUAGGAAGUAGCACCUUCUCGAUCUUAUAAAUGGCUAGCUGGUUGUCCGUGUAAACCGUGCCAGAUAAACUUGUAUUGGUAAGUCCUGUGGUUAUGUUCACCGAGUUUGGAUAACUUGUGACAUUAAGUGGUAACCUACUACCUGUUCCAGCCCAUGUUCCAAGAGGAUUACUUACAGUCUGAAACUGGGAAGUGGAUAGGAACGUUGGAACUACGUGGAACUUCACCAACUCAGACUUGUCGCCAUCACUUAGAGUAUUGAGAGUUCCUGAUUUGAGUUCCGAAAAUGCACUAUCUGUGGGUGCAAAGAUGGUUAAACCAGUGUUGGAAUCAUUGAGCGCGGAGAACAAGUGGUUUUCCUCUUGGGUGGAUCUCAAAAGGCGGAUAAAGAUCGUGAAGUGGCCAGCCUUCUCAAGUAUUUUGGUGACGUUGGUGAUGCCGUGUGGUGCAGCAGCCUGUGUUGGGGUUGCGACUGGAGGUUGUGCUACGACUACUGCUGGUGCCUGUGCUGGGGCUGCUGUUGGUGACUGGGCAAAGGUAUUGAUAUAACAAAGGGAAAGAAGGAGCAUUGAAAAUGAGAAGAUUGAGUGCUGUUGCUUCAUCCUUAUUUUUUUGGGAUAAAAUGCUCGAAACAAUUCAAAUAUACUAAUGCAAAUUGAUCUCAAUCAUAAAGUGUUUGAUGUGUAAAGAUGAGAUAGAGUGAGGUUUUUAUAGUAGUGGACAGAGGAUCAAGUUAGGUGCAAUAUACAAUUUUAGUUAUACAACUAGAUUGCUAGUACCUUAUCUCACUCCAAAAGCUGUAGGGUCAUCAAUGGAGAGGGAAAUUUAACAAUGCUGCAGCAACUACUUUCCUUGGAAAAGCAGGCAAAAAAAAAAGGUUCUAAAAGGUAGAUUUCAAGUGGCUGUGACAACAAAUAAAGAUGUCCAUGAUUGUGAAUCAUCACUAGCAGAACAGCUGAGCAUGCUUCUUAACAUCAAAACAAAUCAUCUAUAAUGACAGAAGAUUUAGACAAGCGAUCUAAACUGACCUUUGUAUCGUAAAUAGCCAAGUCUUUGCUCUUUUAGCUUAAAAGAACGAAUAUUUACAUCCUUAAUCCUUGACAGACAUUGAUAGAUCACUAAUUUUCUAGAUUCGCACGCUCAGAAAUCAAAUCUCACACCAGACCAUCACUUAACACAACUUCAUGAAGAAACACUUACCUUAUGUACAUGAGCCCGUAGAGGUCAUGCUAUUGAUAAAAGUGAUUUUGCAGUAUGCAAACGCAAGUCUUGAAACUUUAAGAUAGCCAUUUCGAAGUAAAAGGAAUUGUGUUCUUUUACAUGAUGUUGAAUGGCAUAAUAGUCUUUUAUUCAUGGAGAGGAUGAAAGAAAAGGCAAGGAGCAGAAAAUGUCUCAGUUGGUUACUGUCAUCCCCAGUGUUUUAUUUAUAGAAGGAAACAAACAUUACAGAAAAUGAAACACUAAAGAAACGUACUAGCUAUGUUCUCCUUUAUCAAAGGAGUUAUAUAACAAGCUAGUCUAAUCCUAGAUAAGCUUAAACAAAUGAAUUGAAAGAAACAUCCUAAUCUAGAUAAUGCUAUCAGCUAACAGAUAAAUAGCUAUCAGCUAACAAAUAGAUAACAAUGCAGUAGAUUACUACAAAGUAAUCCUGUUCCAGCUUUGGUACCAAACUUCAACACUCCUCCUUGGUUCCAAAGCUACACAUUCCAAUUCUUCCUCUCAGAUCUUCAAACAUGUUUCCUGUUUCUAGUUCAACUGCUGCUUUGAAUUUAACAAACUCAGCAAACACAUAAGAUUUUGAUUUGAGGCAAGGGAUUCUGUACUAGAGCUCAAGCCUUUUAUUCAUGUUAAACGUACUAGGAUGAAUGGAUCAUGCUUCCACCAAAACCAUGAUUUUCCUCCAUAAUGCAGCAAAUCAUAGAAGGGUUUUUCUGGCAGUCGUCUGUCACAUUCAGUUUAUGAAAAUUGUGAUAUAACCUCGACAAUUUUACUGAUUGGAAUCCACUUCCUCAAGCUUAAAGUAACAAUCCUAUGCUCUCUAACACUCUCUUUUCUCUAAUUAUCAACACCAGCAGUUUUGAAACAGGAGAAAAGAACUUAACCUGAUGUGGGAUUGCUUAAACUAGAGAAAAAUUCAUUCUGAGGAAACUUAAAAGGUUCCUGUGUGAGAGCAAUACAGCAGAUUUGUUCACAUUAAGUUUAGUAGAAGUUCAAGAGAUAACCUAGUAAAGGUAGUUCUGUUUCAGAAGCCUGAUUUCUUGAUAAUUAGCAUUUUCUACUCUUUUGCAUUAUGUUCAGCCUCGCAUUCAAAUGUUGUCAGCAGAACCAUAUAUAAUCUUACAGAUUAAAGAGAACAACAUUUUGAUUCCAACCACUUCAAAAACUUGUAAUGAAAUAUUUGCUUUCACCAUUGUCCUGCAACCUCCUUUUCCUUUCUCUCUACCCUCCUUAAUGCAUGCUUUGUCUUCCCUGAUCGUCAAAUAAUCAUCUCAAUCCAAUAACUUAAGUUAUUAGAUGAGAUUCCAAGAUAUGAUUUAUAUCAUUCUCUAACACACACCCCUCAAGUAAAAGUCAAUUAAGCUUGAAACUUGCACAUGCCCACACUAUCUUGUGCUUAAUUUUUAUCAAAUAAAUAGGGAUGGUGAGAUUCAAACUCAUGACUGUUUGGUCAUUAAAGUUCUGAUACCAUGUCAAAGAAUCAUCUCAUCUCAAUAGCUUAAGAUGUUAGGUAAGGUUCUAAGAUAUGAUUUAUAUUAUUCUCUAACACACCUCUUCAAGUGAAAGCCCUUUAGGCUUAAAACUUGUACAGGUCCGCACUACCUUGUACUUAAUUUUUAUCAAAUAAAUAGGGAUGGUGAGAUUUCAAGAUAUAAUUUAUAUAUUAUUCUCUAACAUAUCACUUCAAGUGAAAGGCCUUUGAACUUGAAACUUGCAUAGAUCCAUACUACCUUGUGCUUAAUUUUUAUCAAAUAAAUAGGGAUGGUGGGAUUCGAACUCAUGAUCGUUUGGUCAUCAAGACUCUGAUAUCAUGUCAAAGAACCAACUCAACUUAAUAACUUAAAUUGUUAAGUGAGGUUCUAAAAUUUUGAUUUAUAUUAUUCUCUAAUAAUAUCGUGAUAGUUUGCCCCGUGCUCACCCUUAUUAGCCGACAUCCCCAUAUCUCUGCAUCAGAAAAAUCUUCUUUCUGAGGGAAGUAAUCCGAUAAACCUUCCUCCAGAUCCAGUAAGUUAAUGUUCAAUAAAAAAACAUAGCAACAACUAGCAAGCAAAAACUACAACCUCUUAAUAUGACAUCUCAGCCGAAAAAUCUCCGAAACCUCCAAAAAUCUCACUCCAUUUACUCCUCCGAUAACUAGACUUCCAAGAAAUAGAACCACCAACACAACCACUAUUAUCUAAGAAACAGUUAGGGCAUGAUUCGAUGACACCAGGGUGAUCAUAAAAAAACAACAAAUGAAGUUUGACUAAUCAAGUACAUGUUUAGCAAUUUGAUCAAGAAAUUAAAUAAAACCUCGAAACCAUAACCUAAAAUCAUACAAACUGGAUUCAAAGUAAAAUCAGAAUUAUUCAACACACACCAAGCUUUCAAUCCAACUCAGAAAAUUUAGACGCUGCCGGACCCAACCCAGCUUAUCUCAUCUCGAGAUUCAAACCCUUUUACAUUAUAAAGCAAAGAUUGCAGCAGCAACUGCACCAACUGAUCCAACCACGUUAUUACGCGUGAACAUGACUGCGCCAGAUAUAUCCACUGGAGCAACAGGACUCUCAACAUUAGCUGCAGGAACUGCCUUAGUAGGCUUUUCUGGUGCGGGUGCUACUGGUGCUGGAGCUGGGGCCUUAGAAGCAAAAAUGUCCUUAGGAAGUAGCACCUUCUCAAUCUUAUAAAUGGCUAGCUGGUUGUCCGUGUAUACCGUGCCAGAUAAACUUGUAUUGGUAAGUCCUGUGGUUAUGUUCACCGAGUUUGGAUAACUUGUUACGUUAAGUGGUAACCUACUACCUGUUCCAGCCCAUGUUCCAAGAGGAUUACUUACAGUCUGAAACUGGGAAGUGGAUAGGAAUGUUGGAACUACGUGGAACUUCACCAACUCAGACUUGUCACCAUCACUUAGAGUAUUGAGAGUUCCUGAUUUGAGUUCCGAAAAUGCACUAUCUGUGGGUGCAAAGAUGGUUACACCAGAGCUUGAAUCAUUAAGCGCGGAGAACAAGUGGUUUUCCUCUUGGGUGGAUCUCAAAAGGCGGAUAAAGAUCGUGAAGUGGCCAGCCUUCUCAAGGAUUUUGGUGACGUUGGUGAUGCCGUGUGGAGCAGCUGCCUGUGUUGGAGUUGCGGCUGGGGGUUGUGCUACGACUACUGCUGGUGCCUGCGCUGGGGCUGCUGCUGGUGACUGGGCAAAG